rnacentral:rRNA from 1 species
GAUGAACGCUGGCGGCGUGCCUAACACAUGCAAGUCGAGCGAUUUUCUUCGGAAAGAGCGGCGGACGGGUGAGUAACGCGUGGGUAACCUGCCCUGUACACACGGAUAACAUACCGAAAGGUAUGCUAAUACGGGAUAAUAUAAGAGAUUCGCAUGGAUUUCUUAUCAAAGCUCCGGCGGUACAGGAUGGACCCGCGUCUGAUUAGCUAGUUGGUGAGGUAAUGGCUCACCAAGGCGACGAUCAGUAGCCGACCUGAGAGGGUGAUCGGCCACAUUGGAACUGAGACACGGUCCAAACUCCUACGGGUGGCAG